rnacentral:rRNA from 1 species
GACGAACGCUGGCGGCGCGCCUAACACAUGCAAGUCGAACGGAGUCAAGAGGAGCUUGCUUUUCUUGACUUAGUGGCGAACGGGUGAGUAACGCGUGAGUAACCUGCCCUGGAGUGGGGGACAACAUUUGGAAACGACUGCUAAUACCGCAUAAGCCCACGGAUCCGCAUGGAUCUGCGGGAAAAGGAUUUAUUCGCUUCAGGAUGGACUCGCGUCCAAUUAGCUAGUUGGUGAGGUAACGGCCCACCAAGGCGACGAUUGGUAGCCGGACUGAGAGGUUGAACGGCAACAUUGGGGCUGAGACACGGCCCAGACUCCUACGGGAGGCAGCAGUGGGGGAUAUUGCACAAUGGGGGAAACCCUGAUGCAGCGACGCCGCGUGGAGGAAGAAGGUUUUCGGAUUGUAAACUCCUGUCGUUAGGGACGAUAAUGACGGUACCUAACAAGAAAGCACCGGCUAACUACGU